CGUAUAUAACAAAAAUUAGAGAUAGUUUGGAUUCGAUCAGGAAAGAGUUAUGGCAAAAAUUGAGAUACAAUUUGUUGGAAUCGUGAUUAUAGCCAUGAUGAUAUUGAGUAUUGCACAAGCUGAUUACUCUCGUCCAUUUGUGCAAGUUGAGUCAACAACUGAUAAAAAUAAAGCGAUAUGUAGGCUGAAAUGUGGCUUUAAAUGUUCAAAAUAUAUAUAUAGUCCUCCAGAUUUUCACCAGUGUGUUGACGAUUGUGUUAAAAAUUGCGGAAAUUUAUAUACCAAUGUCAUCCACCAUUAGUUUACUAAUUGUGAUUGACCAACUCCCGUGACUUCAUCAUUGAUGUUCGAGACCUUUCAACCAAUGUUUUCUUUUUUCAAUAUUGUGACUAUACUUGGAAGAUGUAAUAAUCAUAAGAAUGAUCAAUAAAGAGUUAUUAUGUGAAAUAAAUAUUGAUUUAACA